rnacentral:rRNA from 1 species
GAGUGAAGCGGCUUAAGCUCUUAUUUGAAAUCUGGCACUUUCAGUGUCCGAGUUGUAAUUUGAAGAAGGUAUCUUUUGCUCCGGUUAUUGAUAUGCGUUUCUUGGAACAGAACGUCACAGAGGGUGAGAAUCCCGUGCGAUGAGAUGUCCCAGACCUAUGUAAAGUUCCUUCGAAGAGUCGAGUUGUUUGGGAAUGCAGCUCUAAGUGGGUGGUAAAUUCCAUCUAAAGCUAAAUAUUGGCGAGAGACCGAUAGCGAACAAGUACAGUGAUGGAAAGAUGAAAAGAACUUUGAAAAGAGAGUGAAAAAGUACGUGAAAUUGUUGAAAGGGAAGGGCUUGAGAUCAGACUUGGUAUUUUGUAUGUUACUCUCUCGGGGGUGGCCUCUACAGUUUACCGGGCCAGCAUCAGUUUGAGCGGUAGGAUAAGUGCAAAGAAAUGUGGCACUGCUUCGGUAGUGUGUUAUAGUCUUUGUCGAUACUGCCAGCUUAGACUGAGGACUGCGGCUUCGGCCUAGGAUGUUGGCAUAAUGAUCUUAAGUCGCCCGUCUUG